ACGAACGCUGGCGGCGUGCUUAACACAUGCAAGUCGAACGGUGAUGCUCCAGCUUGCUGGAGUGGAUCAGUGGCGAACGGGUGAGUAACACGUGAGCAACCUGCCCCAGACUCUGGAAUAAGCGCUGGAAACGGCGUCUAAUACUGGAUACGAAACUGGCCCGCAUGGGCAUGGUUUGGAAAGUUUUUCGGUUUGGGAUGUGCUCGCGGCCUAUCAGCUUGUUGGUGAGGUAAUGGCUCACCAAGGCGACGACGGGUAGCCGGCCUGAGAGGGCGACCGGCCACACUGGGACUGAGACACGGCCCAGACUCCUACGGGAGGCAGCAGUGGGGAAUAUUGCACAAUGGGCGAAAGCCUGAUGCAGCGACGCCGCGUGAGGGAUGACGGCCUUCGGGUUGUAAACCUCUUUCAGCAGGGAAGAAGCGAAAGUGACGGUACCUGCAGAAGAAGCACCGGCUAACUACGUG
rnacentral:rRNA from 1 species